rnacentral:rRNA from 1 species
CGGGAUAACACCUGGAAACAGAUGCUAAUACCGGAUAACAACAGAUGAUGCCUAUCAACUGUUUAAAAGAUGGUUCUGCUAUCACUCUUGGAUGGACCUGCGGUGCAUUAGCUAGUUGGUAGGGUAACGGCCUACCGAGGCGAUGAUGCAUAGCCGAGUUGAGAGACUGAUCGGCCACAUUGGGACUGAGACACGGCCCAAACUCCUACGGGAGGCAGCAGCC